UACGAAGGGGGCUAGCGUUGCUCGGAAUCACUGGGCGUAAAGCGCACGUAGGCGGCUUUCUAAGUCAGGGGUGAAAUCCUGGAGCUCAACUCCAGAACUGCCUUUGAUACUGGAGAGCUUGAGUCCGGAAGAGGUGAGUGGAACUCCGAGUGUAGAGGUGAGAUUCGUAGAUAUUCGGAAGAACACCAGUGGCGAAGGCGGCUCACUGGUCCGGUACUGACGCUGAGGUGCGAAAGCGUGGGGAGCAAACAGG
rnacentral:rRNA from 1 species